GGUUAAGCGACUAAGCGUACACGGUGGAUGCCCUGGCAGUCAGAGGCGAUGAAGGGCGUGCUAAUCUGCGAUAAGCGCCGGUAAGGUGAUAUGAACCGUUAUAACCGGCGAUACCCGAAUGGGGAAACCCAGUGUGAUUCGUCACACUAUCAUUAACUGAAUCCAUAGGUUAAUGAGGCGAACCGGGGGAACUGAAACAUCUAAGUACCCCGAGGAAAAGAAAUCAACCGAGAUUCCCCCAGUAGCGGCGAGCGAACGGGGAGGAGCCCAGAGCCUGAAUCAGCAUGUGUGUUAGUGGAAGCGUCUGGAAAGGCGCGCGAUACAGGGUGACAGCCCCGUACACAAAAGCGCAUGUGCUGUGAGCUCGAUGAGUAGGGCGGGACACGUGGUAUCCUGUCUGAAUAUGGGGGGACCAUCCUCCAAGGCUAAAUACUCCUGACUGACCGAUAGUGAACCAGUACCGUGAGGGAAAGGCGAAAAGAACCCCGGCGAGGGGAGUGAAAAAGAACCUGAAACCGUGUACGUACAAGCAGUGGGAGCCUCUUUUAUGGGGUGACUGCGUACCUUUUGUAUAAUGGGUCAGCGACUUAUAUUCUGUAGCAAGGUUAACCGAAUAGGGGAGCCGGAGGGAAACCGAGUCUUAACCGGGCGUUAAGUUGCAGGGUAUAGACCCGAAACCCGGUGAUCUAGCCAUGGGCAGGUUGAAGGUUGGGUAACACUAACUGGAGGACCGAACCGACUAAUGUUGAAAAAUUAGCGGAUGACCUGUGGCUGGGGGUGAAAGGCCAAUCAAACCGGGAGAUAGCUGGUUCUCCCCGAAAGCUAUUUAGGUAGCGCCUCGUGAAUUCAUCUCCGGGGGUAGAGCACUGUUUCGGCUAGGGGGCCAUCCCGGCUUACCAACCCGAUGCAAACUGCGAAUACCGGAGAAUGUUAUCACGGGAGACACACGGCGGGUGCUAACGUCCGUCGUGAAGAGGGAAACAACCCAGACCGCCAGCUAAGGUCCCAAAGUCAUGGUUAAGUGGGAAACGAUGUGGGAAGGCCCAGACAGCCAGGAUGUUGGCUUAGAAGCAGCCAUCAUUUAAAGAAAGCGUAAUAGCUCACUGGUCGAGUCGGCCUGCGCGGAAGAUGUAACGGGGCUAAACCAUGCACCGAAGCUGCGGCAGCGAACGUAUCACUUAAAGCGAUUCAGCGGGUUACGAUUGACGGAGCGAAGCGACGUCAAAGCGUAUACAAAGUCGAGUCGGUUUAAGGAUACGUUCGUUGGGUAGGGGAGCGUUCUGUAAGCCUGCGAAGGUGGCCUGUGAGGGUUGCUGGAGGUAUCAGAAGUGCGAAUGCUGACAUAAGUAACGAUAAAGCGGGUGAAAAGCCCGCUCGCCGGAAGACCAAGGGUUCCUGUCCAACGUUAAUCGGGGCAGGGUGAGUCGACCCCUAAGGCGAGGCCGAAAGGCGUAGUCGAUGGGAAACGGGUUAAUAUUCCCGUACUUGGUGUUACUGCGAAGGGGGGACGGAGAAGGCUAUGUUGGCCGGGCGACGGUUGUCCCGGUUUAAGCGUGUAGGUGUGUGUUCCAGGUAAAUCCGGUUCACUUUAACACUGAGGCGUGAUGACGAGGCACUACGGUGCUGAAGCAACAAAUGCCCUGCUUCCAGGAAAAGCCUCUAAGCAUCAGGUAACAUCAAAUCGUACCCCAAACCGACACAGGUGGUCAGGUAGAGAAUACCAAGGCGCUUGAGAGAACUCGGGUGAAGGAACUAGGCAAAAUGGUGCCGUAACUUCGGGAGAAGGCACGCUGACACGUAGGUGAAGUGAUUUACUCAUGGAGCUGAAGUCAGUCGAAGAUACCAGCUGGCUGCAACUGUUUAUUAAAAACACAGCACUGUGCAAACACGAAAGUGGACGUAUACGGUGUGACGCCUGCCCGGUGCCGGAAGGUUAAUUGAUGGGGUCAGCGCAAGCGAAGCUCCUGAUCGAAGCCCCGGUAAACGGCGGCCGUAACUAUAACGGUCCUAAGGUAGCGAAAUUCCUUGUCGGGUAAGUUCCGACCUGCACGAAUGGCGUAAUGAUGGCCAGGCUGUCUCCACCCGAGACUCAGUGAAAUUGAACUCGCUGUGAAGAUGCAGUGUACCCGCGGCAAGACGGAAAGACCCCGUGAACCUUUACUAUAGCUUGACACUGAACAUUGAGCCUUGAUGUGUAGGAUAGGUGGGAGGCUUUGAAGUGUGGACGCCAGUCUGCAUGGAGCCGACCUUGAAAUACCACCCUUUAAUGUUUGAUGUUCUAACGUGGACCCGUAAUCCGGGUUGCGGACAGUGUCUGGUGGGUAGUUUGACUGGGGCGGUCUCCUCCUAAAGAGUAACGGAGGAGCACGAAGGUUGGCUAAUCCUGGUCGGACAUCAGGAGGUUAGUGCAAUGGCAUAAGCCAGCUUGACUGCGAGCGUGACGGCGCGAGCAGGUGCGAAAGCAGGUCAUAGUGAUCCGGUGGUUCUGAAUGGAAGGGCCAUCGCUCAACGGAUAAAAGGUACUCCGGGGAUAACAGGCUGAUACCGCCCAAGAGUUCAUAUCGACGGCGGUGUUUGGCACCUCGAUGUCGGCUCAUCACAUCCUGGGGCUGAAGUAGGUCCCAAGGGUAUGGCUGUUCGCCAUUUAAAGUGGUACGCGAGCUGGGUUUAGAACGUCGUGAGACAGUUCGGUCCCUAUCUGCCGUGGGCGCUGGAGAACUGAGGGGGGCUGCUCCUAGUACGAGAGGACCGGAGUGGACGCAUCACUGGUGUUCGGGUUGUCAUGCCAAUGGCACUGCCCGGUAGCUAAAUGCGGAAGAGAUAAGUGCUGAAAGCAUCUAAGCACGAAACUUGCCCCGAGAUGAGUUCUCCCUGAGACUUAGAGUCUCCUGAAGGAACGUUGAAGACGACGACGUUGAUAGGCCGGGUGUGUAAGCGCAGCGAUGCGUUGAGCUAACCGGUACUAAUGAACCGUGAGGCUUAACCUU
rnacentral:rRNA from 1 species